GUACGGGAGGCAGCAGUGGGGAAUUUUCCGCAAUGGGCGAAAGCCUGACGGAGCAAGACCGCGUGGGGGAAGAAGGUUUGUGGAUUGUAAACCCCUUUUGAUUGGGAAGAUGAUGACGGUACCAAUCGAAUCAGCCUCGGCUAACUCCGUGCCAGCAGCCGCGGUAAUACGGAGGAGGCAAGCGUUAUCCGGAAUUAUUGGGCGUAAAGCGUCCGUAGGUGGUGAUUCAAGUCUUUUGUCAAAGCGUGGAGCUUAACUCCAUACGGGCAGGAGAAACUGGGUUGCUAGAGUGCGAUAGGGGCAAGGGGAAUUCCCAGUGUAGCGGUGAAAUGCGUAGAUAUUGGGAAGAACACCGGUGGCGAAAGCGCCUUGCUGGGUCUGCACUGACACUGAGGGACGAAAGCUAGGGGAGCGAAAGGGAUUAGAUACCCCGGUAGU
rnacentral:rRNA from 1 species